rnacentral:rRNA from 1 species
GUCGAGUUGGCUUAGGGAUACGUUCGUUGGGUAGGGGAGCGUUCUGUAAGCCGUUGAAGGUGGCCUGUGAGGGUUGCUGGAGGUAUCAGAAGUGCGAAUGCUGACAUAAGUAACGAUAAAGCGGGUGAAAAGCCCGCUCGCCGGAAGACCAAGGGUUCCUGUCCAACGUUAAUCGGGGCAGGGUGAGUCGACCCCUAAGGCGAGGCCGAAAGGCGUAGUCGAUGGGAAACGGGUUAAUAUUCCCGUACUUGGUGUUACUGCGAAGGGGGGACGGAGAAGGCUAUGUUGGCCGGGCGACGGUUGUCCCGGUUUAAGCGUGUAGGUGUGUGUUCCAGGUAAAUCCGGUUCACUUUAACACUGAGGCGUGACGACGAGGCACUACGGUGCUGAAGCAACAAAUGCCCUGCUUCCAGGAAAAGCCUCUAAGCAUCAGGUAACAUCAAAUCGUACCCCAAACCGACACAGGUGGUCAGGUAGAGAAUACCAAGGCGCUUGAGAGAACUCGGGUGAAGGAACUAGGCAAAAUGGUGCCGUAACUUCGGGAGAAGGCACGCUGACACGUAGGUGAAGUGAUUUACUCAUGGAGCUGAAGUCAGUCGAAGAUACCAGCUGGCUGCAACUGUUUAUUAAAAACACAGCACUGUGCAAACACGAAAGUGGACGUAUACGGUGUGACGCCUGCCCGGUGCCGGAAGGUUAAUUGAUGGGGUCAGCGCAAGCGAAGCUCCUGAUCGAAGCCCCGGUAAACGGCGGCCGUAACUAUAACGGUCCUAAGGUAGCGAAAUUCCUUGUCGGGUAAGUUCCGACCUGCACGAAUGGCGUAAUGAUGGCCAGGCUGUCUCCACCCGAGACUCAGUGAAAUUGAACUCGCUGUGAAGAUGCAGUGUACCCGCGGCAAGACGGAAAGACCCCGUGAACCUUUACUAUAGCUUGACACUGAACAUUGAGCCUUGAUGUGUAGGAUAGGUGGGAGGCUUUGAAGCGUGGACGCCAGUCUGCGUGGAGCCG